GUCCACGCCGUAAACGAUGCAUACAAGCUGUAGCUGGGAUUGACUCCGGCUGUGGCGAAGCUAACGCAAGUAGUAUGCCGCCUGGGGAGUACGGUCGCAAGACUAAAACUCAAAGGAAUUGACGGGGGCCCGCACAAGCGGUGGAUUAUGUGGUUCAAUUCGAAGCAACGCGAAAAACCUUACCUGGAUUUGACAUGUCACGACCGCUGGAGAAAUCCAGCUUUCUCGCAAGAGACGUGAACACAGGUGCUGCAUGGCUGUCGU
rnacentral:rRNA from 1 species